ACAAGUCUCAAUUAACAAGGAAAUCAGGCACAUUUUUCUAGGGUUUUAGACGUCUGCGAUUAGUUCUCGGAAUAUCGUUGCUUGAUCUCGCCUUGAAAUUUUUUUCUUCAAAGUUGGAGGUGGUUUGAGAGAAUGUCUAGGGUUUACGUUGGGAAUUUGGACCCUCGAGUUAAUGAAAGGGAUCUUGAAGAUGAAUUUCGUAUGUUUGGGGUUCUUCGCAGUGUAUGGGUUGCUCGAAGGCCACCAGGAUAUGCAUUUGUCGAGUUUGAUGAUCGCAGAGACGCAGUAGAUGCAAUUCGUGCAUUGGAUGGGAAGAAUGGUUGGCGUGUGGAGCUUUCUCAUAAUUCUAAGGGUGGUGGAGGUCGUGGUGGUGGACGUGGCCGUGGUGGAGGCGAUGACUUGAAGUGUUAUGAGUGUGGAGAGCCUGGUCAUUUUGCUCGUGAGUGUCGCUUGCGCAUUGGUUCACGUGGCUUGGGAAGUGGACGUCGUCGUAGCCCUAGCCCUCGACACCGUCGGAGUCCAAGUUAUGGGUAUGGGCGCAGGAGUUACAGCCCCCGAGGAAAAAGAUCUCCACGUCGCCGCAGCAUAUCACCUCGACGUGGUCGCAGUUACAGCAGGUCCCCUCCAUAUCGCCAUUCUCGUCGUGAUUCACCUUAUGCUAAUGGAGACUGAGCUUGGAUCCUGCAGUGGAGCAUAUGCGUGGUGAACCAGAUCACAGAUCUGCAGAAUCGUAGUCUUUAUAGGAUCAGUCGAAUGAACAGGAUUUAUAGUAUUAUUGUUCAUGUCAUGGCUGUGAGGUUUGUUAGGAACUUGGUUUUGGAUGGCUCUACAAAGUCUUUCAGCCACUAAAAAGGCUGUUAUCGACGCUGUUUGUGUGGGCUUGCUAUCUUCAUACUUGGAGCAUCGUUUCGCCACAUUACUGCAUCUUUAAUGCAUCCCAUCUCUGCUCUGCUUCUCUGCACCACAUCGUCUACUGGCCGUUGCCCCUACAUAUUGUCAGCUUUGAGUCCCAUGUUGAAAAUGGUUAUGUUCAGAAAUUUGUUCUUCUGCAACAAAGCGUUUGAAGCUGUUUAUUGUGCAUCCCAUCCCUGCUUUUCUGUAUUACAUCAUCUACUUGUCUCUGUCUAUCCGCAUGUUCGGCUUGAAAUAGAUGUUGAAAAUUGAAUUGCUCAGAAACCUGUUAUAGCUCACCUCUGAUCUUAUGUGCUUCGAGGGCAAGUCUUCUGAUCAACUUAAGACCUUUUCUUCUCUGCUAGCUGGUUAAAGGUAGACCUAAUGCAAGGAUUCUGGUACGGUAGUGAAUGGUUCAAAGUUAAUGGUAACAAUUAACAACCAAUGAAAUAAUGUCCAUUUGCUGCUCCAAUUGGGUAGGUUACACAGUCCAUGGGAACACUAUAUGAAAUGAUGUGCAGAGAUGCUUGAAGAUUGGAACUGGAAGCAUUCCAGUCAUUGUCAGUUUAUUUAUUUACAUUGUUUUCUUUUGUCUUGCAUGUCGACGUGUGAAUCAUUUUUAUCCACAGGUUUUGUACAGGUAAUUAUAUUGUGUUAAAGCAAUCCCCGGACAUUUCUGUAUUUUGGUGCUGGGAUUUAUACAAUAUAUAUUUUUAUUUA